rnacentral:rRNA from 1 species
UCUUCCCUCUUUCUUCGUGCCUAAUACAUGCAAGUCGAGCGAACGGACGAGAAGCUUGCUUCUCUGAUGUUAGCGGCGGACGGGUGAGUAACACGUGGAUAACCUACCUAUAAGACUGGGAUAACUUCGGGAAACCGUAGCUAAUACCGGAUAAUAUUUUGAACCGCAUGGUUCAAAAGUGAAAGACGGUCUUGCUGUCACUUAUAGAUGGAUCCGCGCUGCAUUAGCUAGUUGGUAAGGUAUCGGCUUACCAAGGCAACGAUGCAUAGCCGACCUGAGAGGGUGAUCGGCCACACUGGAACUGAGACACGGUCCAGACUCCUACGGGAGGCAGCAGUAGGGAAUCUUCCGCAAUGGGCGAAAGCCUGACGGAGCAACGCCGCGUGAGUGAUGAAGGUCUUCGGAUCGUAAAACUCUGUUAUUAGGGAAGAACAUAUGUGUAAGUAACUGUGCACAUCUUGACGGUACCUAAUCAGAAAGCCACGGCUAACUACGUG